rnacentral:rRNA from 1 species
GAUGAACGCUGGCGGCGUGCCUAAUACAUGCAAGUCGAGCGAACGGACGAGAAGCUUGCUUCUCUGAUGUUAGCGGCGGACGGGUGAGUAACACGUGGAUAACCUACCUAUAAGACUGGGAUAACUUCGGGAAACCGGAGCUAAUACCGGAUAAUAUUUUGAACCGCAUGGUUCAAAAGUGAAAGACGGUCUUGCUGUCACUUAUAGAUGGAUCCGCGCUGCAUUAGCUAGUUGGUAAGGUAACGGCUUACCAAGGCAACGAUGCAUAGCCGACCUGAGAGGGUGAUCGGCCACACUGGAACUGAGACACGGUCCAGACUCCUACGGGAGGCAGCAGUAGGGAAUCUUCCGCAAUGGGCGAAAGCCUGACGGAGCAACGCCGCGUGAGUGAUGAAGGUCUUCGGAUCGUAAAACUCUGUUAUUAGGGAAGAACAUAUGUGUAAGUAACUGUGCACAUCUUGACGGUACCUAAUCAGAAAGCCACGGCUAACUACGUGCCAGCAGCCGCGGUAAUACGUAGGUGGCAAGCGUUAUCCGGAAUUAUUGGGCGUAAAGCGCGCGUAGGCGGUUUUUUAAGUCUGAUGUGAAAGCCCACGGCUCAACCGUGGAGGGUCAUUGGAAACUGGAAAACUUGAGUGCAGAAGAGGAAAGUGGAAUUCCAUGUGUAGCGGUGAAAUGCGCAGAGAUAUGGAGGAACACCAGUGGCGAAGGCGACUUUCUGGUCUGUAACUGACGCUGAUGUGCGAAAGCGUGGGGAUCAAACAGGAUUAGAUACCCUGGUAGUCCACGCCGUAAACGAUGAGUGCUAAGUGUUAGGGGGUUUCCGCCCCUUAGUGCUGCAGCUAACGCAUUAAGCACUCCGCCUGGGGAGUACGACCGCAAGGUUGAAACUCAAAGGAAUUGACGGGGACCCGCACAAGCGGUGGAGCAUGUGGUUUAAUUCGAAGCAACGCGAAGAACCUUACCAAAUCUUGACAUCCUUUGACAACUCUAGAGAUAGAGCUUUCCCCUUCGGGGGACAAAGUGACAGGUGGUGCAUGGUUGUCGUCAGCUCGUGUCGUGAGAUGUUGGGUUAAGUCCCGCAACGAGCGCAAUCCUUAAGCUUAGUUGCCAUCAUUAAGUUGGGCACUCUAAGUUGACUGCCGGUGACAAACCGGAGGAAGGUGGGGAUGACGUCAAAUCAUCAUGCCCCUUAUGAUUUGGGCUACACACGUGCUACAAUGGACAAUGCAAAGGGCAGCGAAACCGCGAGGUCAAGCAAAUCCCAUAAAGUUGUUCUCAGUUCGGAUUGUAGUCUGCAACUCGACUACAUGAAGCUGGAAUCGCUAGUAAUCGUAGAUCAGCAUGCUACGGUGAAUACGUUCCCGGGUCU